GGGGAAGUCAUGUGAUGUUCAAAAUGGCGGACACCACAACGUAAACAAUGUGAAAUAUUCAGUUUCCAUAUGUCACAUUUAAUUGAUGAUUGCCGACCAAAUUUAGGGAGUAAAAUAUUGUGCAACACUUUGGAUAAUGUCAUGUGUUUAAUUCUGUAAAGCAAAGAGAAGGGAGUCCAAAAUGAGAAAAAACCUGGCUUAUCAGGAUUUGGACAUAAUUCCUGCAAAUUUGGCAGAAACCGAGGGUGAAUCUUUGCAAGAAAUAGAUCUGACUCACAACAAAAUAUCAUAUCCUUUCUUAAUCACCAGAAUUUCCUUUUCUAUGUUACUGAUUAUA